rnacentral:misc_RNA from 1 species
UGGUGAUAUACGAUUCGCUGCCCGUGUUUGACGACGGGCCUGUGGCGCAUGCACCCAUAAAGCGUGCACGCACCCAACAACAUGUGGUCUGCAGCGUGCUGCGCCGGGCGAUGCAUGCACGCGUCACGCGUCACACGCCCGGAGCACCGGGGUGCAUUCACGAAGUGUAUUCUGCUGUAAUGAUCCUUCCGCAGGUUCACCUACGGAAA